UCUCCGUUGGUGAACCAGCGGAGGGAUCAUUACCAGAGUUUUACAACUCCCAACCCUGCUGUGAACCUACCUAUCGUUGCUUCGGCGGACUCACCCCAGCGUCCGGACGGCCCCGCGCCGGCCCGCGACCUGGACCCAGGCGGCCGCCGCACACCACACAAUCCUGUAUCCAUCAGUCUUUCUGAAUCCGCCGCAAGGCAAAACCAUCGAAUCAAAACUUUCAACAAUGGAUCUCUUGGUUCUG
rnacentral:misc_RNA from 1 species